UACGCAGGAUGCAAGCGUUGUCCGGAUUUAUUGGGUUAAAAGGGUGCGUAGGCGGCCUAUUAAGCUAGUGGUGAAAACGUUCGGCUUAACCGGAUACCCGCCAUUGAUACUGAUAGACUUGAGUGCGACAGAGGGUGUUGGAAUGUGUGGUGUAGCGGUGAAAUGCUUAGAUAUCACGCAGAACACCAAUUGCGAAGGCAGAUGCCUAUGUCGUAACUGACGCUGAGGCACGAAAGCGUGGGGAGCAAACAGG
rnacentral:rRNA from 1 species